rnacentral:rRNA from 1 species
GACGAACGCUGGCGGCGUGCUUAACACAUGCAAGUCGAACGAUGAAGCCGGAGCUUGCUCUGGUGAAUUAGUGGCGAACGGGUGAGUAACACGUGAGUAACCUGCCCUUGACUCUGGGAUAACUGCGGGAAACUGUAGCUAAUACCGGAUACUCACACCGAGGCACAUGCCUUGGUGUGGAAAGUUUUUCGGAAAGGGAUGGAGUCGCGGCCUAUCAGCUUGUUGGUGAGGUAACGGCUCACCAAGGCGACGACGGGUAGCCGGCCUGAGAGGGCGACCGGCCACACUGGGACUGAGACACGGCCCAGACUCCUACGGGAGGCAGCAGUGGGGAAUAUUGCACAAUGGGCGCAAGCCUGAUGCAGCGACGUCGCGUGAGGGAUGAAGGUCUUCGGAUUGUAAACCUCUUUCAGUAGGGACGAAGCGAAAGUGACGGUACCUAAAGAAGAAGCACCGGCUAACUACGUGCCAGCAGCCGCCGUAA